AUUGAACGCUGGCGGCAGGCCUAACACAUGCAAGUCGAACGAGUGGCGGACGGGUUAGUAAUGUCUGGGACCCUGCCCGAUGGAGGGGUGUAACUACUGGAAACGGUAUCUAAUCCCGCCUACCAUCGUCUGUGCCCAGAUGGGCUUAGCUAGUAGGUGGGGUAACGGCUCCCCUAGGCGACGAUCCCUAGCUGGUCUGAGAGGAUGACCAGCCAAACUGGAAAUGAGACACGGUCCAGACUCCUACGGGAGGCAGCAGUGGGGAAUAUUGCACAAUGGGCGAAAGCCUGAUACAGCCAUGCCGCGUGUAUGAAGAAGGCCUUCGGGUGGUAAAGUACUUUCAGCGAGGAGGCGUUACUCGCAGAAGAAGCACCGGCUAACUCCGGGCCAGCAGCCGCGGUAAUAC
rnacentral:rRNA from 1 species